rnacentral:rRNA from 1 species
AUACGUAGGGGGCAAGCGUUGUCCGGAAUGAUUGGGCGUAAAGGGCGCGUAGGCGGCUUUAUAAGUCUGGAGUGAAAGUCCUCUUUUCAAGGGAGGAAUUGCUUUGGAAACUAUAGAGCUUGAGUGCAGGAGAGGAGAGUGGAAUUCCUAGUGUAGCGGUGAAAUGCGUAGAUAUUAGGAGGAACACCAGUUGCGAAGGCGGCUCUCUGGACUGUAACUGACACUGAGGCACGAAAGCGUGGGGAGC